ACCGGCGCACGGGUGCGGAACGCGUAUGGAACCUGCCCCUGUCAGGGGAAUAGCCCAGGGAAACUUGGAUUAAUGCCCCAUGGUACCGUUAUAUCGCAUGAUAUUUCGGUUAAAGAUUUAUCGGACAGGGAUGGCCAUGCGUACCAUUAGUUAGUUGGUGGGGUAACGGCCCACCAAGGCAGCGAUGGUUAGGGGCCCUGAGAGGGGGAUCCCCCACACUGGUACUGAGACACGGACCAGACUCCUACGGGAGGCAGCAGUGAGGAAUAUUGGACAAUGGGCGGGAGCCUGAUCCAGC
rnacentral:rRNA from 1 species